GUUUCCUACAUAGUAACUGUUUGCCUUGGCUGAUGUUUUUGCUGGAAAAAAGAAAUACGAGGUCCUAUCAAAUAGGAGGUUUGGAAUUCUAUACGUGGCCAUCUGAUCUGAGAAGGCUACGUAUACACCUCUUUUGUGCCCAGCUGCCUUUCAGCAUUGCACUUCCAGGAGAAUCAAACUGGAAUGCAACAUGUAGUCAACUGGUCUAUCUCCAGAGAGGCCAGAAGACCUGACUGCAUCAGUUAUGUCUUCAGGCACUACACUGUCUGAAUGGGUCAUUGUCCACUAAGGCUUGGCUGUGCACUAGCACAGAAUCUGAGUUUGAUGGAACAUGACGGCGCCAGGAGAACUUGCCAGACCUAUUUUUCACUUUGAGCCCUCCGCGUAGCUGUUCGCGCUUCUCCGCAGCUGCCCCGUAAAGUUGGCUGCACCUGUCUGCCUUUCCCGGUGCUGAGCUGCAUCUGGAUGAGUCCUCUGGGUAAGGCACCUGGCCUGUUAAAUGUGGAGGUCUUCAGAAAUGGACAAACCUUCUGUCAAACGUGUGGCUUUUUCAGCCAGACGACACGAGUGUAAUGUGGAGUUGCAGCGGCUGGGACAGGAAUGAUUUCGGUUACAAAAGCACUGCCACGUGCAGGUGUUGGUCACUCGGUGACACUUUUGGUCAGAGAUAAUAACAGAGGAUGGAUUUUCCUGCUUUUUUUUUUUCCAUGGGGAGAAUAACAAAGUCUGUCUCAUUUUGCUUCCUACCUCCUCUCUUUGCAUGGAAACACUUGAUAACAACCCUGUGACUCCAUGAGGCGUGGUGGUAAUAAAAGAAAUCACUUGGACCACACACACCCUUCACAAGAGCCUGUGGCCUGCUUAGGCUUUCACAGUUGCAAAGACUGGAACAGCUUCAAGCUUGCCAUCAGCUCCCUUGUUCCUCUUGUGCACAGAACAGUGCAGCAGGCUUACAGAAAAGUCUAGAAGUUUUUCCUCUUUCUAGGCACUUGCAGCUGAAGAGCUCUUUUUCACUUAAGGAAGCGAUGUCUCUGUGCUGAAUGGCUGUUGGUGAUUUAGAGAACUGUGUGGCUAAAGAAAAGGGGAAAAACAGGGCUGGGUUUUGCUCUGGUUUCCUGAAUUCAAUCCAGUACAUUUCAGGAGUGGCCAAAAGUCAGUGCCCUUGGACUGUUUAGCUGGCCUCUAUCCAGUUUCCAUCAACACAGCUGGCACCAACUAGUCCCCUGGUUACUGUUCUGAUUGGCAAGGCCUUGUUCUAGCCGAUCUGAGGACACACCUUUGGAUACAUCACUUUGUAUGGUGGUUGGUAUUUUGACAUAUUGUAUCAGGGAGCAUUUGCCUAACCUGUGGUGUUUAAAAGGAGCUGGAUUUGAAAAUCUGAACAAGUUUA